AAUCGUAGCGUAUAACAGUCGUGCGAAAGCGCGUUUCAGUCGAAACCAAAGGCGGCCUACAAAACUCAUUAGCGGCGUCCGUCCCGAUUGUCGACAAAUAAAAUGAAAAACCUCCUCGUUUAGCGACCCGUGACAUAUGAAAUGUGCCGCACAGAUUUUUAUUGCCUUUUCUUUUGUUCGUCGUCCUGCACGCAGCAGUACUACGUGUUUUAUGGCGAUUCGACGUCAAUUUCUUUGGCGUCCGAAUGAAAAUAUACGCGAGCCCGCCACUACCCGCCGUCAACGAAAUUACUGCAAAACGCACACGGCGAGGGUUGUCGAGUCCUGCCACGAUAUGCUCUGAGGAUUUCGAUCGGUGGUUUAUUAU